UACGUAGGUGGCAAGCGUUGUCCGGAUUUACUGGGCGUAAAGAGCGCGCAGGCGGUCGUUCAAGUCGCGUGUGAAAGCCCCCGGCUCAACUGGGGAGGGUCACGCGAUACUGAUCGACUCGAAGGCAGGAGAGGGUAGUGGAAUUCCCGGUGUAGUGGUGAAAUGCGUAGAUAUCGGGAGGAACACCAGAGGCGAAGGCGGCGACCUGGACAGUGACUGACACUCAACUACGAAAGCGUGGGGAGCAAACAGG
rnacentral:rRNA from 1 species